AGAGUUUGAUCCUGGCUCAGGACGAACGCUGGCGGCGUGCCUAAUACAUGCAAGUCGAGCGGACCGAACAGGAGCUUGCUCUUGUUUGGUUAGCGGCGGACGGGUGAGUAACACGUGGGUAACCUACCCGUAAGACCGGGAUAACUCCGGGAAACCGGAGCUAAUACCGGAUAACACCAAAGACCGCAUGGUCUUUGGUUGAAAGGCGGCUUCGGCUGUCACUUACGGAUGGGCCCGCGGCGCAUUAGCUAGUUGGUGAGGUAACGGCUCACCAAGGCGACGAUGCGUAGCCGGCCUGAGAGGGUGACCGGCCACACUGGGACUGAGACACGGCCCAGACUCNUACGGGAGGCAGCAGUAGGGAAUCUUCCGCAAUGGACGAAAGUCUGACGGAGCGACGCCGCGUGAGCGAAGAAGGUCUUCGGAUCGU
rnacentral:rRNA from 1 species